GCUUGUCUCAAAGAUUAAGCCAUGCAUGUCUAAGUAUAAGCAACUCUAUACUGUGAAACUGCGAAUGGCUCAUUACAUCAGUUAUCGUUUCUUUGAUGGUUCUUACUACUUGGAUAACCGUAGUAAUUCUAGAGCUAAUACAUGCAAAAGGCCCUGACUGUUUGGAAGGGGUGUAUUUAUUAGGUGGAAACCAAUGCGGGGCAACUCGGAUGUUGGUGAUUCAUGAUAACUUUCGGAUCGAUCUUCGGAUCGAUGCAUCAUUCAAGUUUCUGCCCUAUCAGCUUUGGAUGGUAGGGUAUUGGCCUACCAUGGCUUUAACGGGUAACGGAGAAUUAGGGUUCGAUUCCGGAGAGGGAGCCUGAGAAACGGCUACCACAUCCAAGGAAGGCAGCAGG
rnacentral:rRNA from 1 species